rnacentral:rRNA from 1 species
AUGGCUCAGAUUGAACGCUGGCGGCGUGCUUAACACAUGCAAGUCGCGCGUGAAGGACUUCGGUCCGAGUAAAGCGGCGCACGGGUGAGUAACGCGUGGAUGAUCUACCCAUGAGUUAGGAAUAACGGCUGGAAACGGUCGCUAAUACCAAAUACGCUCCGAUUUCAACUUCGGGGGAAAGGUGGCCUCUGCUUGCAAGCUACUGCUCAUGGAUGAGUCCGCGUCCCAUUAGCUAGUUGGUGGGGUAACGGCCCACCAAGGCGACGAUGGGUAGCCGGUCUGAGAGGAUGACCGGCCACACUGGGACUGGAACACGGCCCAGACUCCUACGGGAGGCAGCAGUGGGGAAUAUUGCGCAAUGGGCGAAAGCCUGACGCAGCGACGCCGCGUGAGGGAUGAAAGGUCCUCGGAUCGUAAACCUCUGUCAGGAGGGAAGAACCGCCACGGUGCUAAUCAGCCGUGGUCUGACGGUACCUCCAAAGGAAGCACCGGCUAACUCCGUGCCAGCAGCAGC